rnacentral:rRNA from 1 species
UGAGGAAUAUUGGUCAAUGGGCGCGAGCCUGAACCAGCCAAGUAGCGUGAAGGAUGAAGGCUCUAUGGGUCGUAAACUUCUUUUAUAUGGGAAUAAAGUUUUCCACGUGUGGAAUUUUGUAUGUACCAUAUGAAUAAGGAUCGGCUAACUCCGUGCC